UGNCUCGCACCUCGAAUUGUAGUCUGGAGAAGGUCCCUCUGCGACGCGCCGGACCCAAGUUCCCUGGAAAGGGACGUCAUCGAGGGUGACAACCCCGUCCGCGCCCGGAACGCGUCGCUCCACGAGGACCUGUCUGCGAGUCGGGCUGUUUGGGAAUGCAGCCCUAAUCGGGAGGUAAAUUCCUUCCAAGGCUAAAUAUGGGCAAGAGACCGAUAGCGAACAAGUACCGCGAGGGAAAGAUGAAAAGGACUUUGAAAAGAGAGUUAAAAAGUGCUUGAAAUUGCUGGGAGGGAAGCGAAUGGAAGCUGCGGGUGCGGCCCGGUUGGAUGUGGAACGGCUUCGGCUGGUCCGCCGCUCAACGCGGGGCGCUGGUCAGCGUGGGCCAUGGCGCCGGGACAAGAGCAGGGAUUCGCUUCCUGCCUAUGCCGGUGCGGUGGCCGAGGAACGAAGCGCGCGCCUUCUGGCGUGGGUUCGCCCAACUGCGCGCUCGGGACGCUGGCGUAUUGAGCUCUUCAUCCGACCCGUCUUGAAANANGGACCAANGAGUCUAANAUGUAUG
rnacentral:rRNA from 1 species